GUGUAGGUUCAAGAAUGGCCCCCGUCAUAUUGUCAGGUGAAUACCUGCAACGUGCGGGGGUUUUCU
rnacentral:antisense_RNA from 1 species